rnacentral:misc_RNA from 1 species
AGUAGCACAACCAACUAGUCCUGUGAAGGCUUUGACAGAUCCCGGGGCCAUGUUGGCAGGUCUGCUGUAAGAAUGUGGAGGCUAUUGAUGUGUGAAGAUUUGUUCAUUAUACACUUGUAAACGUGAUUUAUACAACUGGCCCACCCAUCUGUCCCUCGAGUCAAGAGCUGGAUCAGGAAAUUCAGGAUGCAAGGGCUGGCGGAAUUAAGGGCGAGCUAAAUUGUGGUUGGCUUAAAUUGUGGAAUUUCGAUGGGGUUGGUCAGGAUUUUGAUAUUCUUUUGCACAAUUGUAAUGUGCUUAG